AGAUGUACGAAAUUCGUUUUAUAUUUUCCUCCCUUGUGGAGGUUAUGGUUUGAUUCUACACACAGCAGCGCAACAUCUGUCAGUACUUCUGGUG
rnacentral:ncRNA from 1 species